rnacentral:rRNA from 1 species
UACAUGGGGUGCAAACGUUGCUCGGAAUUAUUGGGCGUAAAGCGCGCGUAGGCGGUUACUUAAGUCGGAUGUGAAAGCCCUCGGCUUAACUGAGGAAGUGCUCCCGAAACUGAGUAGCUAGAGUACGAAAGAGGGUCGCGGAAUUCCCGGUGUAGAGGUGAAAUUCGUAGAUAUCGGGAGGAACACCGGUGGCGAAGGCGGCGACCUGGGUCGAGACUGACGCUGAGGCGCGAAAGCGUGGGGAGCAAACAGG